rnacentral:rRNA from 1 species
UAUUGGGCAAUGGGCGCAAGCCUGACCCAGCAACGCCGCGUGAAGGAAGAAGGCCCUCGGGUUGUAAACUUCUUUUGUCAGGGACGAAGAAAGUGACGGUACCUGACGAAUAAGCCACGGCUAACUACGUGCCAGCAGCCGCGGUAAUACGUAGGUGGCAAGCGUUAUCCGGAUUUACUGGGUGUAAAGGGCGUGUAGGCGGGAUUGCAAGUCAGAUGUGAAAUUCCAGGGCUCAACCCUGGAACUGCAUUUGAAACUGUAGUUCUUGAGUGAUGGAGAGGCAGGCGGAACUCCGUGUGUAGCGGUGAAAUGCGUAGAUAUACGGAGGAACACCAGUGGCGAAGGCGGCCUGCUGGACAUUAACUGACGCUGAGGCGCGAAAGCGUGGGGAGCAAACAGG